rfam:Heligmosomoides polygyrus genome assembly, scaffold: HPBE_scaffold0000728
GCGCCGGUGGUGUAAUGGCGUAGAGCAUUCCCGCCCGGUUAGAGGGAGGUGCGGGUUCGAGUCCCGCCUGGCGUU